AUCAUUCUAUAAGGGAGCUUGUAAAGCAGGCUGAGAGGGAGUAAUCAAACUUCGACCUUUAUAACCUGAUUUGGGUAAUGCCAACGUAGGGAUUUGUAAGCUAAUUCCG
rnacentral:ncRNA from 2 species